GCCAGUCGAACGCGAACGGGUUAUAGCCUGCUAAGAUUGUCAGCUAAGUGGCGCACGGGUGAGUAAUAUAUAGGUAACAUGCCUUCGAGAAGGGGAUAACGUUUGGAAACGAACGCUAAUACCCUAUAUGCCUUUAAGUCUUAAGACUGCAAGGGAAAUAUUUAUAGCUCGAAGAUUGGCCUGUACAGUAUCAGUUAGUUGGUGAGGUAAUGGCUCACCAAGACAAUGACGCUUAACUGGUUUGAGAGGAUGAUC
rnacentral:rRNA from 1 species